rnacentral:rRNA from 1 species
CAGUCGCCACGGGAAUACGGAGGGGGCUAGCGUUGUUCGGAAUUACUGGGCGUAAAGCGCACGUAGGCGGCUUGGUAAGUUAGAGGUGAAAGCCUGGAGCUCAACUCCAGAAUUGCCUUUAAGACUGCCGAGCUAGCAGGUGAGAGAGGUAAGUGGAAUUCCGAGUGUAGAGGUGAAAUUCGUAGAUAUUCGGAAGAACACCAGUGGCGAAGGCGGCUUACUGGCUCAUACUGGACGCUGAGGCACGAUAGCGUGGGGAGCAAACAGGAUUAGAUACCCGUGUAGUCCCUGUCUCUUAUCU